AAAGGCAGACUAAUACCGGAUAAGACUACAUUAGCACAUGCUUGUGCAGUAAAAGAUGGCCUCUACAUGUAAGCUAUUGCUUGAAGAUGAGCCUGCGUCCUAUCAGCUAGUUGGUGAGGUAAUGGCCCACCAAGGCUGUUGACGGGUAGCUGGUCUGAGAGGAUGGUCAGCCACACUGGGACUGAGACACUGCCCAGACUCCUACGGGAGGCUGCAGUCGAGAAUCUUUUGCAAUGGGCGAAAGCCUGACAAUGCGACGCCACGUGAGCGAUGAAGGCCUUCGGGUCGUAAAGCUCUGUCACACGGGAGGAAAUGCAGAUAUGCAAAUAGCGUAUCUGUUUGACAGUACCGUGAGAGGAAGCCACGACUAACUCCGUGCCAGCAGCCGCGGUAAUACGGAGGCGGCAAGCGUUGUUCGGAUUUAUUGGGUGUAAAGGGCAUGUAGGCGGUUAUGGAAGUCAAAUGUGAAAUCCCUCAGCUCAACUGAGGAAGUGCAUUUGAAACUACAGAGCUUGAGUGUAGGAGAGGAGAGCGGAAUUCCCGGUGUAAGGGUGAAAUCUUUAGAUAUCGGGAGGAACACCAGUGGCGAAAGCGGCUCGCUGGUCCAUACCUGACGCUGAGAUGCGAAAGCUAGGGGAGCGAACAGGAUUAGAUACCCUGGUAGUCCUAGCCGUAAACGAUGAGCACUAGGUGUUGGUCCCGUCUUGGGAUCAGUGCCGCAGUUAACACGAUAAGUGCUCCACCUGAGGAGUACGGCCGCAAGGUUGAAACUCAAAGGAAUUGACGGGGGCCAGCACAAGCGGUGGAACAUGUGGUUCAAUUCGAUGCUACGCGAAGAACCUUACCCAGGCUUGACAUGCAAGAAGUAGGAACCUGAAAGGGGGACGACUCGUAUCCAGUCGAGAGCUUGCACAGGUGCUGCAUGGCUGUCGUCAGCUCGUGCCGUGAGGUGUUGGCUUAAGUGCCACAACGCGCGCAACCAUCGUCUUUAGUUGCCAGCGGGUCCGCAAGGACGCCGGGCCCUCUAGAGAGACUGCCAGCGACGAGCUGGAGGAAGGUGGUGAUGACGUCAAGUCCGUACGGCCCUUAUGCCUGGGGCUACACACGUGUUACAAUGGAGUCGACAACGCGCUGCUAACCCGCGAGGGCAUGCUAAUCGCUUAAACGACUCCUCAGUUCGGAUUGCAGGCUGCAAUUCGCCUGCAUGAAGCCGGAAUCGCUAGUAACGGCGGAUCAGCUACGCCGCCGUGAAUACGUUCCCUGGCCUUGUACACAC
rnacentral:rRNA from 1 species